rnacentral:rRNA from 1 species
GUGCCAGCAGCCGCGGUAAUACGAAGGGGGCGAGCGUUGUUCGGAGUUACUGGGCGUAAAGGGCGCGUAGGCGGCGGUCCAAGUUAGGCGUGAAAGCCCCGGGCUUAACCUGGGAAUUGCGCUUAAGACUGGAUUGCUUGAGUGCGGGAGAGGUGAGUGGAAUUCCCAGUGUAGAGGUGAAAUUCGUAGAUAUUGGGAAGAACACCAGUGGCGAAGGCGGCUCACUGGCCCGCAACUGACGCUGAGGCGCGAAAGCGUGGGGAGCAAACAGGAUUAGAUACCCUGGUAGUCCACGCUGUAAACGAUGAGUGCUAGACGUUGGGGAACUUGGUUCCUUGGUGUCGCAGCUAACGCAUGAAGCACUCCGCCUGGGGAGUACGGCCGCAAGGUUAAA